rnacentral:rRNA from 1 species
GACGGGUAUCCGGCCUGAGAGGGUGAACGGGCACACUGGAACUGAGACACGGUCCAGACUCCUACGGGAGGCAGCAGUAGGGAAUAUUGCUCAAUGGGGGAGACCCUGAAGCAGCAACGCCGCGUGGAGGAUGAAGGUUUUCGGAUUGUAAACUCCUUUUGUUAGAGAAGAUAAUGACGGUAUCUAACGAAUAAGCACCGGCUAACUCCGUGCCAGCAGCCGCGGUAAUACGGAGGGUGCAAGCGUUACUCGGAAUCACUGGGCGUAAAGAGCGCGUAGGCGGGAUAGCAAGUCAGAUGUGAAAUCCUAUGGCUUAACCAUAGAACUGCAUUUGAAACUGUUAUUCUA